AAGGUACAUUUUAGACACUAAACUACAGAGUUAUAGUAAGUUGAUUAGAUAACUAACUUUAUUCUCUUAGGAGGAGGAGCCAGAGCAGGAACUGGAGCCGGCUAUUAACAUCUGCCAUGAGACUCCAGCAUUCCCUGAUAAUAACACCUGUCAGGAGGAAGAGCUGAUAGUGGAGGUGAGCGCCGACACCCGCCCCUCCCGCUACCAGGAAUCUUUAGAUGAGAGCCCUCAGCUUAACACCAGUGAG